GUACAGCCGCCCUGAUGGAUCGCUGGGGCCUCGGGCGGGGUGCACCGCUGUCCUUUCGCCGCCGUCCGGGCGGCACUGCACGUGCAGCGCGCGGUCCCCCACCCAGCGCAGCCCGCAACACCCCUGGUCUGCCGCAGGAGACCCUGCCGAUGCCACUCAGGGUCAAGACUCUGGCGCGGUGGAAACUGCAGAGCAAAAGGAAACACAGACAAAAACAGUGAGAAGGAGAGAGAGCAUGUGGGGCUUUGCCAGAGAGGAACUUGGAUGGCAAUCACCUAAGAACUCCAAACUCAGUGCCAGGGCAGACUGGUGUCUAUUUUGGUGGGUUUCCAAGUUCUGAACAUUGGAAUUUAAAUGCAGAUGGAGGCCACUCUGGACGUGUGUCCACGGUAGUUGGGGUAUUGUUGGUUGUGAGCUGGUCUACACACAGAUCACACACAGAUCUCUUUGUGGUGCUGGAGAAGUUGGAAUCAGCUCAUAGGGGAGUCCCAAUGUGGAAGACCCAGGAGUGCAGCAGGCUUUGCUUUUUAAGAAGUAACUCAUUAAAAAUGAAAUUGGAAAGAGGUCUUUGAUCUUGCUUGGAGCCCUAGACAAUCAAAACCAAAAAUGGAACUGGAAUUCCAUAGUCUGAAGCAAUGUCUUCCAGUAGUUGAUAACUUUCUACUUUUAAAAUAAUUGGAAGAAUGUAAGCUCUCAACUAGUCCACUAGUCCCGAAACAAUAGAUACCAGCUGGCAGAGAUAAUAGCUGUCUGGAAGAGAGAGAUACAUACCACAUCAAAAAA
rnacentral:lncRNA from 1 species